UACGUAGGGUGCGAGCGUUGUCCGGAAUUAUUGGGCGUAAAGAGCUCGUAGGCGGCCUGUCGCGUCGGAUGUGAAAGCCCGGGGCUUAACCCCGGGUCUGCAUUCGAUACGGGGCAGGCUAGAGUUCGGUAGGGGGAGAUCGGAAUUCCUGGUGUAGCGGUGAAAUGCGCAGAUAUCAGGAGGAACACCGGUGGCGAAGGCGGAUCUCUGGGCCGAUACUGACGCUGAGGAGCGAAAGCGUGGGGAGCGAACAGG
rnacentral:rRNA from 1 species